GGGACGAACGCUGGCGGCGUGCUUAACACAUGCAAGUCGAGCGGAAAGGCCUUUCGGGGUACUCGAGCGGCGAACGGGUGAGUAACACGUGAGUAAUCUGCCCAUCGCUUCAGGAUAGCCAUCGGAAACGGUGAUUAAUACUGGAUAUGACAUUCCUUCGCAUGUUGGGGUGUGGAAAGUUUUUUCGGCGGUGGAUGUGCUCGCGGCCUAUCAGCUUGUUGGUGGGGUAAUGGCCUACCAAGGCUUUGACGGGUAGCCGGCCUGAGAGGGUGACCGGCCACACUGGGACUGAGACACGGCCCAGACUCCUACGGGAGGCAGCAGUGGGGAAUAUGGACAAUGGGCGGAAGCCUGAUCCAGCAACGCGCGUGAGGAUGACGCUCGGUUGUAACUCUUCAGCACAGACGAAGUUUGUCUUUUGGUUGUAAGUGACGUAUGUGCAGAAGAAGACCGACCAACUACGUGCCAGUAGCCGC
rnacentral:rRNA from 1 species